rnacentral:rRNA from 1 species
UACGUAGGGCGCAAGCGUUGUCCGGAAUUAUUGGGCGUAAAGAGCUCGUAGGCGGCCUGUUACGUCUGCUGUGAAAUCCCGGGGCUUAACCCCGGGCGUGCAGUGGAUACGGGCAGGCUGGAGGCAGGCAGGGGAGAACGGAAUUCCCGGUGUAGCGGUGAAAUGCGUAGAUGUCGGAAGGAACACCAGUGGCGAAAGCGGCUUCCUGGUCCGACACCGACGUUCAGGCACGAAAGCGUGGGGAGCAAACAGG